GACUCGGACCCACGGGUGUCAUGGUCUUACCCGCGCUGCCCCUAGAGGCGUUGCAGGUGUGGCUGCCGUGUCACGUCUGCGUCAUGAGGUGGCAGAGAGGAAAGAGGCUCGGUCUACGCCCAGUGUUCUGGCCGGUGGACCUCUGGAUGAUUGAUAGUCUGACACUUUGACACAGUGCCCACUGAGGGUGGGUGUGUGUUGCCAGAAGCCUGUCGUGUAAGAACGCCUUAUAAUUCUCUCCUGGCGCUUGGCUGGGCCCCAGGACACCCCGAGGUUGCCGUGUGAGGAGCGGCAGCAAGUGGGUGUUUGCUCUCUGGCUCAGCGACCAGCAGGAAAGAUGGUGUCACUGGUAGCUCCCUGGGAGAGAAGGUGCAGAGAUUUCUGAAGGGGGCGCGGGGGUCCUCCUGGAUGGGCUUCCUCGGUGACUUGGUGGUAAAGGAGACCCACGGAACUUGGGUUCAGUGCCUUGGCCAGAAAGAUUCCCCGGAGAAGGGAAUGGAAGGACGGCGACUGUUAGCCUGUGGACGAAGGCAAGAGUGAGCAGCCUCGUGCUCCUGACCAAGCUUCUCCACUGGAGCGGGGCCGGGGUGACGCGGACUUGCCGGAAGUCAGCGGCUGCAGCUCACAGCCGGUCCAGUCUGUCCACCUUUGAGCCUGGCGGUGGCAUGUCCUUCCCCACCCUCUUGAGGACCCCCACUGGCUGAACCCCCUGGAAACUGCGUGGAAUGUUCGGGGGAUGAGGCUGAGGAGGCUUGUCUUUGCCUUCCGGAACCCCGCUGCUGUCCUGAGGUCUCCACCCAAGGUGGGAACCCCGGAGAGCAGCCCAGCAGCCAUGCGCCGCCAGACCUGAGGGCGGUACAGAGCCUGGGAAAGGCAUGGCCUUGGAAAUUCCUCUGAAGAAGAAUGUGCGGGCUUAUUGCAUCGUGUGUUGAAAAGCAGUAGCGGCUUGGGCUUCUCCCCCUGGUGUGGCUCAGCAGGUUUGGGGCAGCAGCUGUGUGCGUUACAGAAACUUGAACAGAGGCCACGUGGAGCUCGGAACCAGAGAUGACAGCCCAGCAACAGGGUCAGGGCUGGGGGUGUCCGCCUGCAGUGGCUGCAGCCCCGCAGGCACCCCAGGGCGUGGUCCUGAAGUCCUCCAGCUGGGAGGUGCAGGAUCCUCUGUGCGGGCCACCCCACAGGCCUGAGCUGUCUCUGGAUUAUACCCCGCCUGAGGGGAGAAUGUCGAUGUGGUUUGCAAAUUAGUCCUGAGUGUCUCACAGCUGGAACCUUGAGACCCCUGCUUUCAGCACAGGUUGUUACGGUGAAUGGAAAGAUCUCCUGUCUUGGUGAAGGAGCAUGUCCCCAUGUUGGCACAACUAUAAAGAAUAAAUGGAUCUUGAGUAAA